rfam:Schistosoma mansoni strain Puerto Rico chromosome 2, complete genome
GUACUGUUGACGAGUCCCACAACAGGACGAAACGGCCUUCCAUUGC